UGAGUCAGGGUGAUAAGACUGCACCUAGUAAUCAGAGCUGAAUUGCACUACACCCUGUAAAGAAAAAGGGAGAGUCAGAAGCUACUCUAGUAAACUUCUCAGGAACUCCCAGAGACUCUGGCCGUUUGUCAACCACAAAUGUGCGUCUUUGCUUCAAAAUGGGUGAUUCAGACUGACCUCAGCAUGUGCUUGCCUGCAUGGGGGAAGUAGAGGUUUGGGGCUCUGAAGAGCCCAUGGUUAUAACAAGGACUACAGUGCUGUGCUUUCAGAACCUGAGUUGUUUAAUUCCUGGUACUGAGCUGGAGAAUGUGCAUCUAUAUACAUAUUUGAAAUUUUCAGUACAAAAAAUUACAUGGACCCUAGAACGCAUCUAAUUCAUCACUGGCAUUCCAGAUCUUUUCACGUCAGCAAAGGUCCUGCCAGGAGCCUGCUCCAGUGCAGGCUUCACACAGAGUCACAUCCUCUUUCAGGCAUCCACCUGCUCCUGUGGGGCUUCUCCAUGGGCUGCAGGUGGAUCUC